UACGUAGGCAGCAAGCGUUGUUCGGAAUUAUUGGGCGUAAAGAGUGUGUAGGCGGUGCUCCAAGUCUGUUGUGAAAUCUCCCGCUCAACUGGGAGGGUGCGCCGAAUACUGAGAGGCUAGAGUGUGGGAGAGGAAAGUGGAAUUCCUGGUGUAGCGGUGAAAUGCGUAGAUAUCAGGAGGAACACCGGUGGUUGUAAACGGCUUUCUGGACCAUAACUGACGCUGAGGCACGAAAGCGUGGGUAGCAAACAGG
rnacentral:rRNA from 1 species